rnacentral:lncRNA from 1 species
AAGAGAAAUGUAUCUGUUUGUGUCUUUCCCUCAGAGUCUUCUGACAUACAAGUCAGUAUGACCUCCACCCUGGGCCCAGAGUUAUGAGGUCUGUUCAGGGACAUCCCCACCUUCUGCUGAUGGUCCUGGGACUAACCCUUAUGGGACUUUAGCUGUAGUUGGGGGAUAGGCUCACAGCUUUGCCAAGGGCUUCCCCCAAAGUCAGACAACAUGGGUCCUGGCCCCACAGCCAGUAUGGCUUCAUCCACCAUUGUGUCCCAUGGAGCUCCUUUCUCAGAGACUUUGUCCAAAAAGUGUCCAAGACACAGCAGCAGGUCACAGCCCCAUGGGCUGAUCUUAACCCACUGUACCCAGAGCAACCCCUUCCCUUCAGUUCAGGAAAUGCUUUAAUGAGGAUCCCAAGAAGGGAACAAGAUUUAAUCAGUCAGGCAAGCCUAAUAUUGAAUGCUGUGCAAUGCCUUACCUACCUGACAGACACAGGUAGGUAGCCCAUCCUCAGCAGUAAUUUUCCACCCCUCUAGUAUGGCCAGCUGCAUGUCACCUCAGGCAGAGGGCAAAGAGCCAUGUCUUAGGCCCCAGGCUCACUGUUCAUUGCUCUGGAACAGCACCUUGGAAAGAGUAAUGUCCCAGCCAUUGCUGAGACUCUCUUGCUUAAGCUCAAGUAGAGUGGCCAGUUAGUCACCAAGGGCACUGACUGGUUCAUGGAACUGAUUAUGGGAACUGGCUAGGAGAGAGUAAGUCCUUGUAGCCCACUACAUGCUAUCACUGAGAGUCUCAAUUUCCAGAUGACCAGGGUAGAGUCCCAUGGAGCUUGUGAGAACUCCUGAACCUGUCACUUUGGAGUGGUACGUGAUGACAUGCAAGGGAGAGCACCAGAACCCUUGUGGAAGCCCAGCCGCAAUUUCUUCUACUUACCACCCAGAGAGGAAGAGCCCAUGUAGCAUCAAUAUUCAGUCAAAUGAGAACUUAAUGGUUAGCCUCUUUGAAUCUCACCAUUUCCAUGAGCCAGACUACCUAUUUGCUUAUAUGGAUCACCAUCCUCUAUUCCACUUAUGAUGAUAUGAAAUGUGACAAUUACUGGGUGCUGAUGUAAUGUCACGGACACUGAGAAAGAAACACCAAAUUUUAAUAUUGUGAAAGAAACACCCAAACAGUAAGAGAAUACUCAGGUAAUAAAUCAGGAAGAGGAUCCCA